GUACAAUACUAAAAUUUAACUUAGGUUAUAUAGCUUCUUAAUUUUUUUAAAUUUUAAAACGGUAGAGAAAUUCCAACAAAUUCUGCUUUUCCAUUGAUAUAUGUUUGUAUAAGCUUGUAAACCUAUAAUGACUUCAUGUAGGAAUUAUUAUUUAUAUUUUGAUUUUUCUUACAGAGAUACAAAACACGAUUUUAAAAGGACAAAGAUGUAAUGGGUGAAAAUGGAAGAAAAGAAAAAGAAAUACCAAACAAGAUUUUCCAGGGAUUUACAGGUCAUUGGUGAAAAUUGAAGAAAAGAUAAAUGAAAUAACAAAAAUAGUUAAAUGAUUUACAACCAAGCAGCACUCAGCAAUAGUGAUGAUGGUUAAACAAGAUUUAGUGCCUACCACACAGUUAAGAAAGCAUGAGAUACGAGAAUGUCUAUAGGAC